GUUUAUUCAAUGAGUACUGUCUUGUUCUUAUAAUGCGAUCUACUUUUGUCAAUACGAUUGCUGUAGAACUGAUUGGACCUACAUAUUUACAAUAGUUUAACUGUUGUUCUGUUUCCUUUUUACAGUCCCAAUAUUAUUGCACAUUCGGUAGCAAAGAUGUUGACACCACAUGUCGUCUGAUGAUGACUUUUACGGGAUCGAAUAAGGUUUGGUCAUUGUAUUCCCUGAAAGGAAUGAGAGGAGAAAAGAAACUGGAAGACCUGGCUAUCUGCAGGCCAAUGCUGGCUGCAGGUCAAUAUUGAAUGCUCUUAUGAAAACUCAUAAGACAAUAACAAAAAAAAGAAGCGGAGGAUGCUGUUUUUAAAACAUGCUCCAUUCAAAAAAGGUGGAUUGAAAUUUAAGAAAGGUGUGAUGGGUGCGUCUGCUGCAGGCAGGGAGGAUUUGACGGUCAGCCAGAGGAUUUGGAGAUAUACUGUAAUGUCUUUAAUGUGGACUUGCGUGUGAUUUAAGUUUUCACAAGGGUUUUAGUGUGUGUGAAAGUAUGUCAGUUUUCAAAAUUGAGCUAUGACAAUUUGCUCAAACUACAUAACUCAAAGAAUUUUGAAGCGGUUUUGUUGGCGUCAUGAGCUUUUGUUUAAUACCAGUAUUGGUGAUAUAGGCCCAUGAUUAUAUACUGUAGAAAGUGAACAAGUUCACUGCUCGAUACAGAUAAUCAUAUAGCCUGAUCUCUGAAUGAUAUUAAUGAACCAAAAGAAGGCAUAAAAUAAAAACAUACAGUAGUGAUUUGAAUUAUUGAUAUUGUUAAACUAGAUCUGGGCCUGAUCGUUAAGUAAAAAAAUUU
rnacentral:lncRNA from 1 species